UACGGAGAGUGCAAGCAUUAAUCGGAAUUAUUGGGCGUAAAGGGUGCGUAGGUGGCGCCGUAAGUCGGGUGUGAAAUUUCGGAGCUUAACUCCGAAACUGCAUUCGAUACUGCGGUGCUUGAGGACUGGAGAGGAGACUGGAAUUCAUGGUGUAGCAGUGAAAUGCGUAGAGAUCAUGAGGAAGACCAGUGGCGAAGGCGGGUCUCUGGACAGUUCCUGACGCUGAGGCACGAAGGCCAGGGGAGCAAACGGG
rnacentral:rRNA from 1 species